rnacentral:rRNA from 1 species
AGUGAACGCUGGCGGCGUGCUUAACACAUGCAAGUCGAACGAGGACGGAUUAUAGCUUGCUAUAAUUGUUAGCUAAGUGGCGCACGGGUGAGUAAUGUAUAGGUAAUAUGCCUCUUACUAAGGGAUAACAAAUGGAAACGUUUGCUAAUACCUUAUACUCCUUAUUAACAGAAGUUAAUAAGGGAAAGAUUUAUUGGUAAGAGAUUAGCCUGUAUUGUAUCAGUUAGUUGGCGGGGUAAUGGCUUACCAAGACUAUGACACAUAACUGGUUUGAGAGGAUGAUCAGUCACACUGGAACUGAGACACGGUCCAGACUCCUACGGGAGGCAGCAGUGGGGAAUAUUGCACAAUGGACGAAAGUCUGAUGCAGCAACGCCGCGUGGAGGAUGACACAUUUCGGUGCGUAAACUCCUUUUAUAUGAGAAGAUAAUGACGGUAUUAUAUGAAUAAGCACCGGCUAACUCCGUGCCAGCAGCCGCGGUAACAC